UACGGGAGGCAGCAGUGGGGAAUAUUGCACAAUGGGCGAAAGCCUGAUGCAGCUAUGCCGCGUGUAUGAAGAAGGCCUUAGGGUUGUAAAGUACUUUCAUCGGGGAGGAAAAACAAAACUAAUAAUUUUAUUUCUUGACGUUACCCGAAAAAGAAGCACCGGCUAACUCCGUGCCAGCAGCCGCGGUAAUACGGAGGGUGCUAGCGUUAAUCAGAAUUACUGGGCGUAAAGAGCACGUAGGUGGUUUUUUUAAGUCAGAUGUGAAAUCCCUGGGCUUAACCUGGAACUGCAUUUUGAAACUGAAAUACUAGAGUAUCGUAGAGGGAGGUAGAAUUCUAGGUGUAGCGGUGAAAUGCGUAGAUAUUUUGGAGGAAUACCUGUGGCGAAAGCGGCCUCCUAAACGAAUACUGACACUGAGGGUGCGAAAGCGUGGGGAGCAAACAGGGAUUAGAUACC
rnacentral:rRNA from 1 species